AAAGGGCCCCGGGGACCUGUGGCCAGCCAGGGACUGGCCACUCAGGACACAGCAGGAGCUGGUGACCCUGACUCUCCUGCACACAUGCUGAGCAAGAGGAACCCUUUGUCACCCGUCACCAGUGACACAGCUGUCCCCAGGUGCCCGUGGCAGGAUCUGUGCCCUGCUGAGGAGUCCCAGAGCUGCUUGGCUGGAGGAGAAGCCGCAGGGGAGCUGGGACAAGCAGGGGGUCACAGCCUGUGUUUGUUUAUACUUUUCAUUGUUGCUGCUGGUUUAGAUACUCUGCCAGUGCAUGAAUAUCAUUGUUCUCACUGAAAAUGACUGAGAAAAACCCACAAACUCUGAAGCCACACCCAACUUGUUUUCACUUCUAAAGAUACUUUGUUUUGCUACUCCUCAAGCUCUUUUAAGGCACGUGGAGACACCAUUUUUGCUGCUACCCCCAUCUGAGUCACUCAGGGCAGUAAGAACCCACAGAGGCAGACGUUAUUUUAUGAAUUGUGGUCUCUUGUGCUGCCACACACCUCUCACUUCCUCAGUGUGUGCUGCCAGCCUGCAGGAUCAUGGGGAGGGCAGCAGGGCGAGCCUGGGCAGCCAGGUCUGCCCAGCCCCUUCCUAAACCCGCCCAGGGACUGCAGACACAGAUGUUCUGUCUGCUGGAAGCCAGAGGAUUCACUCCAGGAGAUGAGGGCGUUGUCAGCGAAGGUCUUGGCUCCAGAGUGUGUCCCAGACCCCAGGUCUAUCUGCUGCUCCCUGCCCCACGGAAGGGCUGUGGGUCAGAGCUGUGGGGCAGGGAUUUGGAGCUGGCUCUGGAGCAGCCGGGUGUGGGCUGCCUUCCCCCUUAGUCUCAGAUCUGCACAGGAGUCGGUGUGAUCUUUGUGCUUGGUUUGGGGGAGCUUUGCUUUAUUUUUUUCCCCCUUUUAAAAUGGUGAAAGGUGGGGAAGCACAGCCACUGCCUCCCUGUCCCCCUCAGCUAUUCCCUACAAAUUCGUACAUUGCUUUUCCUGCAUUUCUUGCUGCAAGAGACUCUCUUAAGGCCACAGAGCAGAGAUCUCGGAAGCUGAGAGCAGCCAGAAUCCCCCCCAAAACUCAUCACUGAGCCAGAGCUCACUGCUGGGCUGAGCCUCCUGGCUGGCCACCUUUCCAGCUGUGCAGGACAACGGUGUCAGCACUGUCACCUGUCGGGGUCUGGCCGCUGCCACCCCGAAGCACAGGGCUUGUCUGCAGUAUUUAACAACCACCUCCCAGUGCUGUGAUUUCUGUCGAGGGACAGUAAAAGUGCUCAGCUGCAG